rnacentral:rRNA from 1 species
UGGGGAAUAUUGGACAAUGGGCGAAAGCCUGAUGCAGCAAUGCCGCGUGAGUGAUGAAGGCCUUAGGGUUGUAAAGCUCUUUUUACCAGGGAUGAUAAUGACAGUACCUGGAGAAUAAGCUCCGGCUAACUCCGUGCCAGCAGCCGCGGUAAUACGGAGGGAGCUAGCGUUGUUCGGAAUUACUGGGCGUAAAGCGUGCGUAGGCGGUGACUCAAGUCAGAGGUGAAAGCCUGGAGCUCAACUCCAGAACUGCCUUUGAAACUAGGUCGCUAGAAUCUGGGAGAGGUGAGUGGAAUUCCGAGUGUAGAGGUGAAAUUCGUAGAUAUUCGGAAGAACACCAGUGGCGAAGGCGGCUCACUGGACCAGAAUUGACGCUGAGGCACGAAAGCGUGGGGAGCAAACAGGAUUAGAUACCCGCGUAGUCCCUGAGCGGGCUGGCAAGGCGCAU